GUUGAGGGUGGUGAGCAAUGAAGGAGCCAAGAAGGUGCUGCUGUAAAACGAGAGGUUCGGCGAUUAAUCCUGUCAGUUUGAUCUAGGUUUAUGGACCACGCCUGGCUCCUUCCUUCCCUGCUUCUGCCUGCCAGAUGCUGUGAUUCUCUCAAGAGCCUUCAAAUACAAAGUAAAAUUUAUGCUUCAUAUCCUAAAUUUGGAAAGAAACCAUUUUCCAGAUACAGUUCAGCAAACACAAACAGCUUUUCUGUGCUGAUGAAGUAAAGGAUUUCCAAUUUUCUUCUGCCCCCUAAGUCUGCGUCGCAUGAUACAAUGAAGAAUGAAGAUGAGAAACCCUAAUUCCUAAUUUGGUACUGCCCC